rnacentral:rRNA from 1 species
ACGAACGCUGGCGGCAGGCUUAACACAUGCAAGUCGAACGAAGGCUUCGGCCUUAGUGGCGCACGGGUGAGUAACGCGUGGGAACCGGCCCUUGAGUGGGGGAUAACCUCGGGAAACUGAGGCUAAUACCGCAUAAUCCCUGAGGGGAAAAGACUUCGGUCGCUUAAGGAAGGGCCCGCGCCCGAUUAGGUAGUUGGUGUGGUAACGGCGCACCAAGCCGACGAUCGGUAGCUGGUCUGAGAGGAUGAUCAGCCACACUGGGACUGAGACACGGCCCAGACUCCUACGGGAGGCAGCAGUGGGGAAUAUUGGACAAUGGGCGCAAGCCUGAUCCAGCCAUGCCGCGUGAGUGAAGAAGGCCUUCGGGUUGUAAAGCUCUUUCAGCGGGGACGAUGAUGACGGUACCCGCAGAAGAAGCCCCGGCUAACUUCGU